AUCCCAGAUAAUUUUUUAUGUGUUUAUUUGAUUCAUGGGAGGCAUACAUCAAUAACGAGAGUUCCGCUUAUGGCACCUUCCGUAAUCAAGAGGGUGCUCUAAUAGUGCCUCACUGUAUCUCU